CCUACGGGUGGCAGCAGUGGGGAAUAUUGGGCAAUGGGCGCAAGCCUGACCCAGCAACGCCGCGUGAAGGAAGAAGGCUUUCGGGUUGUAAACUUCUUUUGUCAGGGACGAAGCAAGUGACGGUACUUGACGCAUAAGCCACGGCUAACUACGUGCCAGCAGCCGCGGUAAUACGUAGGCGGCAAGCGUUAUCCGGAUUGACUGGGUGUAAAGGGCGUGUAGGCGGGACUGCAAGUCAGAUGUGAAAACCACGGGCUCAACCUGUGGCCUGCAUUUGAAACUGUAGUUCUUGAGUACUGGAGAGGCAGGCGGAAUUCCUGGUGUAGCGGUGAAAUGCGUAGAUAUUAGGAGGAACACCAGUGGCGAAGGCGGUCUGCUGGACAGCAACUGACGCUGAGGCGCGAAAGCGUGGGGAGCAAACAGGAUUAGAUACCCCAGUAGUC
rnacentral:rRNA from 1 species